AGAGGGUGCGAGCGUUAAUCGGAAUUACUGGGCGUAAAGCGCACGUAGGCGGCUUGGUAUGUCGGGUGUGAAAUCCCCGGGCUCAACCUGGGAACUGCAUCCGAAACUGCCUUGCUAGAGUAUGGGAGAGGGAAGUGGAAUUUCCGGUGUAGCGGUGAAAUGCGUAGAUAUCGGAAGGAACAUCAGUGGCGAAGGCGACUUCCUGGACCAAUACUGACGCUCAGGUGCGAAAGCGUGGGGAGCAAACAGGAUUAGAUACCCUGGUAGUCCACGCCCUAAACGAUGACAACUGGAUGUCGGGAGGGUUUGCCUUCCGGUGUCGUAGCUAACGCGUUAAGUUGUCCGCCUGGGAAGUACGGCCGCAAGGUUG
rnacentral:rRNA from 1 species